AUGCUUGCUAUGGCAGCAUAAAUACUAAAAUUCAAGCCUACAGAGGAAAUUAGCAUAGCCCCUGUGUAAGGAUGACGUGAAGAUUCAUGAAGCAUUCCAUAUUUUU
rfam:TPA: Bos taurus chromosome 2, whole genome shotgun sequence.